rnacentral:rRNA from 1 species
AGCUCCAGUAGCGUAUAUUAAAGUUGUUGCAGUUAAAAAGCUCGUAGUUGGAUUUCUGGCUAGAGCCGCCCGUCCCAUCGGCUGAUGCCGUAUGCGUGGCGAUGGUGUGCUCGGUCAUCCGCUCAUCUCGGGGGCUCUACCCUUCAUUGGGCCGGAGUUUCUCGGUUGGGCCAUUUACUUUGAAAAAAUUAGAGUGUUUAAAGCAGGCAUUUGCUGUGAAUACAUUAGCAUGGAAUAAUAAUAUAGGACUUUUGUUCUAUUUUGUUGGUUUCCUGAACGGAAGUAAUGAUUGAUAGGGAUAGUUGGGGGUGCUAGUAUUCCACGGCCAGAGGUGAAAUUCUUGGAUUCGUGGAAGACUAACUUAUGCGAAAGCAUUCACCAAGGAUAUCUUCU